rnacentral:rRNA from 1 species
UGGGGAAUUUUGGACAAUGGGCGAAAGCCUGAUCCAGCAAUGCCGCGUGUGUGAAGAAGGCCUUCGGGUUGUAAAGCACUUUUGUCCGGAAAGAAAUCCUUGGCUCUAGUACAGUCGGGGGAUGACGGUACCGGAAGAAUAAGCACCGGCUAACUACGUGCCAGCGGCCGCGGUAAUACGUAGGGUGCAAGCGUUAAUCGGAAUUACUGGGCGUAAAGCGUGCGCAGGCGGUUUGCUAAGACCGAUGUGAAAUCCCCGGGCUCAACCUGGGAACUGCAUUGGUGACUGGCAGGCUAGAGUAUGGCAGAGGGGGGUAGAAUUCCACGUGUAGCAGUGAAAUGCGUAGAGAUGUGGAGGAAUACCGAUGGCGAAGGCAGCCCCCUGGGCCAAAUACUGACGCUCAUGCACGAAAAGCGUGGGGAGCAAAACAGGAUUAGAUACCCUGGUAGUCCACGCCCUAAAACGAUGUCAACUAGUUGUUGGGGAUUCAUUUCCUUAGUAACGUAGCUAAACGCGUGAAGUUGACCGCCUGGGGAGUACGGUCGCAAAGAUUAAAAACUCAAAUGAAUUGACGGGGUCAUAGCUGUUUCCU